CGUAAAAGCCCGGAUGGGGGUCAUUUGUCGAGGGGCCCGACCGAAGCCUGCCGUGAAAAUCUGGCGCGGACCGCUCGUAGUGGGAGUUUAAAGUAGACCGCUUGCAGGAGCUCGGAGUCCCUCUCCCGUUGGAGUCCGGAUGAAGUCUUCCUGCAGUUAGAGUCAGGGACGAAGUCCGGCUCCCGUAGGAGUCCGGACGAAGUCUACCUGUAGUUAGAGUCGGGGACGAAGUCCGGCUCCCGUAGGAGUCCGGACAAAGUCUUCCUGCAAUUAAUGUCGGGGAUGAAGUCCGGCUCUCAUAGG
rnacentral:lncRNA from 1 species